GCCUGGGAUAGCUCAGUUGGUAGAGCACAAGACUCUUAAUUGCAGGGUUGUGGGUUCAAAUCCCAUGCUGGGCA
rnacentral:tRNA from 1 species